GAUGAACGCUGGCGGCGUGCCUAAUACAUGCAAGUCGAACGAAACUUCUUUAUCACCGAGUGCUUGCACUCACCGAUAAAGAGUUGAGUGGCGAACGGGUGAGUAACACGUGGGCAACCUGCCCAAAAGAGGGGGAUAACACUUGGAAACAGGUGCUAAUACCGCAUAACCAUAGUUACCGCAUGGUAACUAUGUAAAAGGUGGCUAUACUACCGCUUUUGGAUGGGCCCGCGGCGCAUUAGCUAGUUGGUAGGGUAAAGGCUUACCAAGGCAAUGAUGCGUAGCCGAAUUGAGAGGUUGAUCGGCCACAUUGGGACUAAGACACGGCCCAAACUCCUACGGGAGGCAGCAGUAGGGAAUCUUCCACAAUGGGCGAAAGCCUGAUGGAGCAACGCCGCGUGGGUGAAGAAGGUCUUCGGAUCGUAAAACCCUGUUGUUAGAGAAGAAAGUGCGUGAGAGUAACUGUUCACGUUUCGACGGUAUCUAACCGGAAAGCCACGGCUAACUACGUG
rnacentral:rRNA from 1 species